rnacentral:rRNA from 1 species
UACGGAGGAUGCGAGCGUUAUCCGGAUUUAUUGGGUUUAAAGGGUGCGUAGGCGGUAUUUUAAGUUAGUGGUAAAACGUCGGGGCUUCGCCUUGAUUGGCCAUUAAAACUGGAGUACUAGAGUACAGACGAGGUAGGCGGAAUAAGUUAAGUAGCGGUGAAAUGCUUAGAUAUAACUUAGAACCCCGAUAGCGAAGGCAGCUUACCAGACUGUUACUGACGCUGAAGCACGAGAGCGUGGGUAGCGAACAGG